rnacentral:rRNA from 1 species
AACGUAGGUGGCAAGCGUUGUCCGGAUUUACUGGGCGUAAAGGAUGCGUAGGCGGAUGUUUAAGUGAGAUGUGAAAUACCCGAGCUCAACUUGGGUGCUGCAUUUCAAACUGGAUAUCUAGAGUGCAGGAGAGGAAAGCGGAAUUCCUAGUGUAGCGGUGAAAUGCGUAGAGAUUAGGAAGAACACCAGUGGCGAAGGCGGCUUUCAGGACUGUAACUGACGCUGAGGCAUGAAAGCGUGGGGAGCAAACAGG